rnacentral:tRNA from 3 species
GGUCUAGUAGACUUAACGUCUGGACAAGCCGCGUGGCUUGGGCCCACGAAAUCGGCGGUUCAAAUCCGCCCAGCCCCACCA